rnacentral:rRNA from 1 species
CGAAGAGACACGGGAGCUUGCUCCUAUGAAUCUUAGUGGCGAACGGGUGAGUAACGCGUAAUCAACCUGCCCUACAAUGGGGGACAACAGUUGGAAACGACUGCUAAUACCGCAUACGACCUACGAUUGGCAUCAAUCGUAGGUGAAAGGUGGCCUCUACAUGUAAGCUAUCGUUGUAGGAGGGGAUUGCGUCUGAUUAGCUAGUUGGAGGGGUAACGGCCCACCAAGGCGAUGAUCAGUAGCCGGUCUGAGAGGAUGAACGGCCACAUUGGGACUGAGACACGGCCCAAACUCCUACGGGAGGCAGCAGUGGGGAAUCUUCCGCAAUGGACGAAAGUCUGACGGAGCAACGCCGCGUGAGUGAUGACGGUCUUCGGAUUGUAAAGCUCUGUUAAUCGGGACGAAUGGUUUGUGUGCAAAUAGUGCAUAGACAUGACGGUACCGGAAUAGAAAGCCACGGCUAACUACGUGCCAGCAGCCGCGGUAAUACGUAGGUGGCAAGCGUUGUCCGGAAUUAUUGGGCGUAAAGCGCGCGCAGGCGGACUAGCCAGUCAGUCUUAAAAGUUCGGGGCUUAACCCCGUGAUGGGAUUGAAACUACUAGUCUAGAGUAUCGGAGAGGAAAGUGGAAUUCCUAGUGUAGCGGUGAAAUGCGUAGAUAUUAGGAAGAACACCAGUGGCGAAGGCGACUUUCUGGACGAACACUGACGCUGAGGCGCGAAAGCCAGGGGAGCGAACGGGAUUAGAUACCCCGGUAGUCCUGGCCGUAAACGAUGGGUACUAAGUGUGGGAGGUAUCGACCCCUUCCGUGCUGCAGUU